AACGUACUCCCUCCGUCCGGAAAAACUUGUCCAUCAAAUGGAUGUAUGUAGCACUAGUUGGUGCUACAUACAUCCAUUUGAUGGACAAGUUUUUUCGGAUGGAGGGAGUAAUUU
rfam:Triticum aestivum genome assembly, contig: Triticum_aestivum_CS42_TGACv1_scaffold_030512_1BL